UACGGAGGAUGCAAGCGUUAUCCGGAUUUAUUGGGUUUAAAGGGUGCGCAGGCUGACCGGUAAGUCAGGGGUGAAACUUUACAGCUUAACUGUAAACGUGCCUUUGAUACUGCCGGACUAGAGUUUAAGAGACGUAAUUGGAAUGUGAUGUGUAGCGGUGAAAUGCUUAGAUAUAUCACAGAACGCCGAUCGUGAAGACAGAUUACGAACUUAAUACUGACGCUCAUGCACGAAAGCGUGGGGAUCAAACAGGAUUAGAUACCCU
rnacentral:rRNA from 1 species